GUCUACCGCCAUGCCACCCUGAACAAGCCCGAUCCUGUCUGAUCUCGUAAACUAAGCAGGGUCGGGCCUGGUUAGUACUUGGAUGGGAGACCACCUGGGAAGACCAGGUGUUGUAGGUG
rnacentral:rRNA from 1 species